rnacentral:rRNA from 1 species
UACAGAGGGUGCAAGCGUUAAUCGGAGUUACUGGGCGUAAAGGGCGCGUAGGCGGUUGAUUAAGUGAGAUGUGAAAUCCCUGGGCUUAACCUAGGAACUGCAUCUCAUACUGGUUGACUAGAGUAUUGUAGAGGGUAGCGGAAUUUCCGGUGUAGCGGUGAAAUGCGUAGAGAUCGGAAGGAACACCAGUGGCGAAGGCGGCUACCUGGACAAAUACUGACGCUGAGGCGCGAGAGCGUGGGGAGCAAACAGG